CCCUUUUCCUCUCCAUCUGUCUGUCCGCUUUUCAAACAUGACCGUCUUGGUCGCGCCUGGCAUCGGCUGUGCUGGCACCAGCAUGCCCAUCAGCAGGCGUGACCCUAACUCUGGGGACACCUGCGACGGUGACCCUGGGGACACCUGGCACCAUAGCUGCUGGGCGGAUGGGGGGGCUGCGUGGCGACCCCCUGGGAUCCCGGCGCGGGGCAGGAGCUCCCCACUUCAGUCUGGCUUCCGCUUGCCACGUGCCUCCCCUCCCACCCUCUCCCGCGUCACCCCGUCCCCUUGGGUAGCGCCCCAGCUGGGGGCCCACACUCCUGGCUUCCGGCAGCACUGGCCCCAAGCCGGAAGCAGAACAGAUGACUUUGGAAGACGCCUGCCUUCAACCUUGCUCCCCGUGCCUCCCGCUGUCCUGCCUGAUUUCCAGGAUCUCUGCCCCCGCUCCUCGGGACAGAGACUAUGAGGCCGGCAGUGCCCUCCGAGGUCUCCUCUUCUUCCCCAACGUCCACAUUCUGCAGAUGGGGAAACUGAGGCCCACAAGGGGUCUCGCUUCUCUGAACCUCAGUGUCCCCCCCCACACGUGGAGAUAGUAGAAGUGUCCCCCCCAUAGUGGUGCUGGGAGGCUAAAAUAGGUCCUGGCGGUGGCCAAGGCUUACAGCCUUUUGCAGACGAGACUCAGGUUAAGGCACACGCUUGCCCAAGGGCACAUACUGAGCACCAGGAACAGGGCCUGAACCCUGAGCUGAAGCGGCCAGAAGGGCACAGGGAGUGGAAGAAACAAACGUGCCGCCACUCACCGUGAGCAUUGCCACCACCUGGGCCUCUGAGACGGCUGGCAAGGAGGCACCUUGGAGCAAGGAGUGCCCAGGUUGUGUGGGCCUCUCUCAGUCUCUGUGUCUUCAUCUAUGAAAUGGGACUGCUGUGGAUCGGUGUCCACGGCAGCACGAGCCACGCUCGCCCCCAAAGGCAAAGCACCCAAGUGUCCAUCAACAGUUGAAUGGAUACACAAAUUGUGAUCUACCCAACAGCGGAAUAUAUUCAGCCAGAGAAAGGCGUGAAGCACUCCCACAAAGUACAACAUGGAUGAACCUUGAAGACAUGACGCUGAGUGAAAGAAGCCAGGCACAAAAGGCCACGUGUUGUAUGAUCCCUUUUAAGUGAAAGGUCCAGAAGGGGCAAAUCUGUUUAUAGAGAAGAGUGCAAGCAGAGGAGGCAGACAGAGAGGGAGACACAGAAUCCGAAAGAGGCUCCAGGCCCCGAGCCGUCAGCACACAGCCCGACGCGGGGCUCGAACCCAUGAACUGUGAGAUCCGGACCUGAACCGAAGUUGGCCGCUCAACAGACUGAGUCACCCAGGUGCCCCAGAAUCUGCAUUUUUUAUAAUCUUUUUUUAAAGUGUAUUUAUUUAUUUUGAGAGAGAGAGAAAGAAAGAGAGAGAGUGCACACGUGAGUGGGAGAGGCGCGGAGAGAGAGAGAAUCCCAAGCAGGCUCCACUCUGUCAGCGCAGAGCCCGACUCAGGGCUUGAUCCCACGAUCCACAAGAUCAUGACCCGAGCCGAAAUCAAGAGUCGGGACACUUAACCGCCCGAGCCACCCAGGGAUCCCCGGAAUUUAUAUUUUAAUUGAGUCCUGUGCAUGGUAAAGUGUGAAGAGCGCUGAACUGCACUGAUAAUUCUGUCAUUAUUCUAGGGCAGGGAUUCUCAAAUUUGGCUGCCCAGCAGAAUCCCCUGGAGGGCUUGUUAAAGCACAUACUGCUGGGAUCCACCAAGAAUUUCUGAUUCCAGGGGCCCCUGGGUGGCUCAGCUGGUUAAGCGUCCGACUCUCGAUUUUGGCUCAGGUCAUGAUCUCAUGGGUUUGUGGGUUCGAGCCCCAUAUCUGGUUCUUCCUUGGCCGCACAGAGCCUGUUUGGGAUUCUCUGUCUCCCUCUCUCUCUCUCUCUCUGCCCCUUCCCCCACUCUCAAAAAUAAAUAAAUUAAGCAAACAAAAAGAAUUUCUGAUUCCAGAGCUCUAGGGCUGGGCCUGAGAAUAUGAAUUUCUAAAGCAUCGCCAAGCGAUGCCGAUACUGCUGCUCCAGGGAACCCACUCUGAAAACCACUGCCUCUGGGGUUUAGGAAGGUGCACCUGCCAGUCUCCCAGGCCCGUAUGGGUGGCUAACCACAGAAGAGAGCAGGGAUAGGACGGGCCUUAGGUACUGCAUGUGGAAGUGCCCGGGGAACGUUUACUGUGCCCACUCUAGGGCGCCAAUCCACACAAACUGACGAGAAUCUCAGGGUGGGGCCCGGGCAUCAGCAUUUGGAAAACUCGCCUGGUGACUUCCGGGUGCAGCCAGGGGUGAGCUGCUCCGGUGCUGCCUAGAGGGGAGUGAGCAAAGGGAAAGGAACCCAAGGCACAGGGGAGUGAUCAGUGUCCCACACUCAUGCUUGAUCCAGGCCUGGGCCCCGGACGGCCCCUUUCCCUGGACCAGGGAUUACCAGGCCUGACCUCCCUGUGCACAGGCAGAGAUGAAACUCAGCUCACUGUGCACCCUUUCUGGUUCCAAAUAUGUAAGAGGCUGGGGGAAGGCAGAGGCCCUGGAACAGAGUGAAAUAGAACAGGCUAAAUUGAAAUUGACGACCUCCUCCACUCUCCCUGCAGAGCUUUUCAAAGGCCCUGGCCCCCGCUGGUUCUCCAACCCACCUAUUACCAACUCCCACUAGGAACUGCUCUGUUGCCUGGAUUGUUGGGAUUUUUUUUUUUCUCUUUACAGAACAAUUUAUACUAAGCUGCCUCUAAAUAGAGCUCUUUAAGGUAGGAUUUGGUUAAAGUCGUCCUGUGUUUAAUGGGCUUGGGGCUGGAUGGGGGCACUCUGGUGCUAAUUGCCUAUUAUUCCCCCCCUGAGUCCAGGGUCAGUAUUUCUGCAGCCGCCCACGACUGGUUUCUCCUGGGCCUGCCCACUCACUCUCUGCUGUCUGCCCCCAUUUAUCCGGGAGAUCAGUGGCUCUGGUGCUCAGG